AAUUAUUGGGCGUAAAGAGCUCGUAGGCGGUUUGUCGCGUCUGCUGUGAAAACGUGAGGCUUAACCUUGCGCCUGCAGUGGGUACGGGCAGACUAGAGUGCGGUAGGGGAGACUGGAAUUCCUGGUGUAGCGGUGGAAUGCGCAGAUAUCAGGAGGAACACCGAUGGCGAAAGCAGGUCUCUGGGCCGUUACUGACGCUGAGGAGCGAAAGCAUGGGGAGCGAACAGGAUUAGAUACCCUGGUAGUCCAUGCCGUAAACGUUGGGCACUAAGUGUGGGGUCCAUUCCACGGGUUCCGCGCCGCAGCUAACGCAUUAAGUGCCCUGCCUGGGGAGUACCGGCGCAAGUCUAAAACUCAAAGGAAUUGACGGGGGCCCGCACAAGCGGCGGAGCAUGCGGAUUAAUUCGAUGCAACGCGAAGAACCUUACCAAGGCUUGACAUACACCGGAAGCGUGCAGAGAUGUGCGUGCCUUAUGGCUGGUGUACAGGUGGUGCAUGGUUGUCGUCAGCUCGUGUCGUGAGAUGUUGGGUUAAGUCCCGCGACGAGCGCAACCCUUACUUAGCUAGCGAGACAGGUAAGCCCGGGGACUAAUAAGAAGACUGCCGGGGUCAACUCGGAGGAAGGUGGGGAUGACGUCAAAUCAUCAUGCCCCUUAUGUCUUGGGCUUCACGCAUGCUACAAUGGCCGGUACAAUGGGUUGCGAUACUGUGAGGUGGAGCGGAUCCCAAAAAGCCGGUCUCAGUUCGGAUUGGGGUCUGCAACUCGACCCCAUGAAGUCGGAGUCGCUAGUAAUCGCA
rnacentral:rRNA from 1 species